GGAGGCUUCAGCAUGGCUGAAAUAACCAGCAAACCACAGGAGUUUAGGACAGAUAAGGACCAAGCAGCCAGAAGUGCAGAACAACCAACAAGAAGCACAGAACAACCAGCCCUUAGCAGAGAAGAACAAAGCACAAGCAGGAAACAAGUAAUCACAAGCAUGGAACAACCAACCAGAAGUGCAGAACAACAAACCACAAGUGUGGAACAACCAACCACAAGUAUGAAACAACCAACCACAAGCACAGAAUAAACAGCUCCUAGCCCAGGGCAACCAAUCACAAGUGGGGAACAGCCAGUCAUAAGCACAGAACAACCAAUUCCAAGCAUAGAACAACAAAAACAGGAGCAUAACAACCAACCACAAGCAGGGAACAACCAAUCACAAGUGCAAAACAACUAACCACAAGCAUGGAACAACCCACCACAAAUGGGGAACAAUCAACCAUAAGUGCAGAACAAUCAACCACAAACAUGGAACAAUCAACCAAAAGCAGGGAAGGAUGAAACGCAAACAUGGAAGAACCAACCACAAGUGGGAUCAACCAACUACAAGCAGGAAACAACCAAUGACAAGCACAGAAUAACCAACCACAAGUUGGUAACAACCAAUCACAAGUAUGAAAUAGCCAACUACAAGCAUGGAAAAACAAACCACAAGUGCAGAACAACCAACCACAAGUGAGGAACAACCACUCACAAGCAGGGAAUAACUAACCACAAGCAUGGAACAACCAGCCAUGAGCGGGGAACAACCAAUUACAAGGAGGAACCUACCAACCUGAAGCACAGAACAACCAACCGUAAAUAUGGAACAACCAAACACAAGCAGGGAACAACCAAUCACAAGCAGGGAACAACCAACCACAAGCACAGAACAACCAACCACAAGUGGGAACCGCUGAUAACAAGUGGAGAACAACCAUCCACAAAGGCAGAACCACUAUCCACAAGCACUCAGGACAGGAAGGAGAGGAUGAUCACCUGUCAAUACAAGUGCAGAGACACUGACAAGGUCAGAUGACCGUACCCAUACUCCUCUUUUUUCUCAUUGAUCCCCCAACCAAGACCCCUACCCUGUCCUUGCCUGGCACAAACUCCCUCCUCAGGCUACUCCUUCUUACUACAUCCCCUUCCCAUCCAGUCUCCAUUCUCUUCCCCCAAACUGAUGCCCUUCUGUGCUCACCUUGUUGCCUUUCCAAGUGCAGAAGACAGCCAAGCAAAUAGAGAUGUCCCUGCAAGCACAUGCAGCCACAAGAUCUUCUGAAGCAUCCAUCACUAGUUCAACAAAGCACAAGAGAAGUGAAUCAAAAUACCAGAUGGAAUUAGCUGGAGCAGAACCAAGAGACCUCGGAGACCUCCGCCGAUCCAAGUAAUGCACUGUGUAUAGAGAGCCCUGGAGAGCCUACAACUAUCUGCUGCAUCUCCAGAGGAGCCUGUGGAGAGAUGGCCAACCACGUAGAGACCAAAUGUUACACCAAUAGGCUACACAGAUUGCAAUUAUUAUUAACAUAAGAUCAACAAGAUAUGAAAAGAUGUGUGUGUCGCUGUAAGUUCUCUGACGGUAGGGAUGGAAGGGAGAGGCAGGUGUGUCAGAGGGGUGGGAGAUAGAGUCCUGCAGGGUCAGGGGCUGGACCAGCAGGUCCACAGUUAGCCAGACAGUGGGAGAUAAGGACUGGGUCAAGAUUGAAAACUGAAGACAAAUUUCCUCCUUAAACUCUUUAUUUGACUGGCAGGAGGGAAGGAACUUGGUGUUUACAUGAGUGAAAAACAACCUCAGAAGUUUCCUCAUGCCUCUUGGUGAUCCUUCUCUCCCACCUCUCCCUGCAACUCCAUCUGUAAGCAGCUGCUGAUCUGCUUCCUGUCUUCAGUCUUCAUAUAAUUGUUUUAUUUUAUAUACUUUUAUAUAAACAGAAUCAUAC
rnacentral:lncRNA from 1 species